rnacentral:rRNA from 1 species
UACGGAGGGUGCAAGCGUUGUCCGGAUUUAUUGGGUUUAAAGGGUGCGUAGGCGGCCUGGUAAGUCAGUGGUGAAAGCCCAUAGCUCAACUAUGGAACUGCCAUUGAUACUGCCAGGCUUGAGUACAGACGAGGUAGGCGGAAUUGAUAGUGUAGCGGUGAAAUGCAUAGAUACUAUCAAGAACACCGAUUGCGUAGGCAGCUUACUAGGCUGUAACUGACGCUGAGGCACGAAAGCGUGGGGAUCAAACAGG